rnacentral:lncRNA from 1 species
GUAAAUCUGUCACAAAAGCAUCUACAUAAUUUGUCAGCAAGAAAUAUUAAAUUUUGAACACAUUUUAUAUUAUAAUUUGAGAUGAAGAGUUAUUAUUGUUUUUUUGAACAAUGAAGAGUUAUUAUUGUUGAAAGUUCCAUACCGAAUAUUGACCUAACCUGAAUAGUGGUUAUAAGUGGACAUCCCUUAUCUUACAAACUGGAUUUCUGAGGAUGAGUUAGAACCACUUCAUGUUCUACUUAUUUGGUGUUUGAACUCCAAAGUAAUUGAUAUGGUUG